UAAAGACAGAAAGAUGAACCUGAAAGACGUCUCACAAGUGGAGACACAGAAAUGAGAGACUGAGGGUGAGGAAGUGUGUGUGUGUGUGUGUGUGUGUGUGUGUGUGUGUGUGUGGAGACCUUCCAGGCAGGGCAUCCUCAGCCCCCCUCUGUCCGCAGGGCAUGCAGGCUGCCCACAGACCUUGGCCUGGUACUCGGCC